GCGGAUGUCGUAUAUCGGUAUUACCCGAGCUUCCCAAGCUCGUGAGGAGGGUUCGACUCCCUUCAUCCGCU
rnacentral:tRNA from 1 species